rnacentral:rRNA from 1 species
UACAGAGGUGGCAAGCGUUGUUCGGAAUUACUGGGCGUAAAGGGCGCGUAGGCGGCCUUAUAAGUCUCGUGUGAAAGCCCUCGGCUUAACUGAGGAUCUGCACGGGAUACUGUAGGGCUCGAGUUCGGGAGAGGAAAGCGGAAUUCCGGGUGUAGCGGUGAAAUGCGUAGAUAUCCGGAGGAACACCAGUGGCGAAGGCGGCUUUCUGGACCGACACUGACGCUGAGGCGCGAAAGCGUGGGGAGCGAACAGG